rnacentral:lncRNA from 1 species
AAUAGUCUGAUCUGAUGUUAUCCGAAACAUCACCAAACACAGUAUAACUUAGUCAGAUUAUUUAUCCAGAACAGCACCAAACGCCUUAUAAUAUUAUGAAUAAAUAGUCAGUACUUUCCGGAACAGAUUAAUACUAUUCGACGGAAAUUAGUCAGUACAGUCCGACGUACCAAACGAGCCCCAAUGGUGCAGUGGCUGCAACAUGCCAGUCAC